UAUGGGCCUGAGUGGAAACAAAAACAUAAGCUACUACUCAUAUCAUUCCCAUUAAUUUUUGUAGAAAGGCCGGCAAAUGACAGACCGCAUUUAUCUUAGUUUGCACUAUGGGCCUGAAUGGAAACAAAAACAUAAGAUUGUUGUUCGUGCCUCUCAUUGGAUACACAUGCUGCUUAUAAACACUUUCAUAUUCGCAAACGUGGUGAAGAAAAUGUACACUUAAAAGCCUGAGAAA